rnacentral:pre_miRNA from 1 species
UUUAGAGGAGCACUUUAAGCAGCUGUGAGGAAUGCAGAUACUUAGUAUUCCUCACAGCUACUUAAAGUGUUCCUCUAAA